GCAGUCGCCGCGGGAAUACGAAGGGGGCUAGCGUUGUUCGGAAUCACUGGGCGUAAAGCGCACGUAGGCGGACUUUUAAGUCAGGGGUGAAAUCCCAAGGCUCAAACUCGGAACUGCCUUUGAUACUGGAGAUCUUGAGUUCGGAAGAGGUUGGUGGAACAGCUAGUGUAGAGGUGAAAUUCGUAGAUAUUAGCUAGAACACCAGUGGCGAAGGCGGCCAACUGGUCCGACACUGACGCUGAGGUGCGAAAGCGUGGGGAGCAAACAGGAUUAGAUACCCCUGUAGUCCCUGUCUCUUAUAC
rnacentral:rRNA from 1 species